GAUGAAGAACGCAGCGAACGUGCGAAACGUAAUGUGAAUUGCAGAAUUCAGUGAAUCAUCGAAUCUUUGAACGCAUCUUGCGCUCCUUGGUAUUCCGAGGAGCAUGCCUGCUUGAGUGUCGUGAAUACUCUCAACUUCAACCCUUUUUUCGGAAAGGGAGGAAGGUUGGACUUGGGUGUUUGUUGAAGUGCGAGCUUCGACUCAUCCUAAAUGCAUUAGCGAUCUGCCUCGAUCACACACAAUGUGAUAAUUAAAACUAAAGCAUUGUUUAAUGAUCAAGUCGAGACUGCUUCUAACUGUCGCAAGACAAUAACGUGCAUACAUUUGUGCAUGUCAUUUGACCUCAAAUCAGGUAGGACUACCCGCUGAACUUAAGCAUAUCAAUAAGCGGAGGA
rnacentral:misc_RNA from 1 species